AGGUAAUGGUGCAGCCAAGGAUGACUUGCCGAAAUACUCUCUUAUAUGUAAUACAUAUAUGUAUAUGGUAGAUGCAGCCGGCGAGCUGUUCUUGGCUACAUUUCUACCCCA
rnacentral:pre_miRNA from 1 species